rnacentral:misc_RNA from 1 species
GAUGAAGAACGUAGCGAAAUGCGAUAAGUAAUGUGAAUUGCAGAAUUCAGUGAAUCAUCGAAUCUUUGAACGCACAUUGCGCCCGCCAGUAUUCUGGCGGGCAUGCCUGUUCGAGCGUCAUUUCAACCAUCAAGCCCCCGGGCUUGUGUUGGGGACCUGCGGCUGCCGCAGGCCCUGAAAACCAGUGGCGGGCUCGCUAGUCACUCCGAGCGUAGUAGUUACAUCUCGCUCAGGGCGUGCUGCGGGUUCCGGCCGUUAAAAGCCUUUUACUCCAAGGUUGACCUCGGAUCAGGUAGGAAGACCCGCUGAACUUAAGCAUAUCGAUAAGCGGAGGA